GACGAACCGUGCGAACGUUGUUCGGAAUCACUGGGCUUAAAGGGCGCGUAGGCGGAUAUCCAAGUCAGUGGUGAAAUCUUUCAGCUUAACUGGAAAACGGCCGUUGAUACUGGAUGUCUGGAGUGAGGUAGGGGCAUGCGGAACUUCCGGUGGAGCGGUGAAAUGCGUAGAUAUCGGAAGGAACACCGGUGGCGAAGGCGGCGUGCUGGACCUCAACUGACGCUGAGGCGCGAAAGCCAGGGGAGCAAACGGG
rnacentral:rRNA from 1 species